GUUUCUGGUAUCUCUCUUGAACUCUGGUGUUUUUACAAGAGGCACACAAAAGAGAGACACAGAGAGAAGAUGAGAAGACUGAGGCAGACAUUGGAAUGACGCAACCAGGAGCCAAGGAAUGCCUGGAUCCAUGGGAAGCAGAAGAGGCUUUCUCACCAUGUGAUGCAUUCUGCUAUGUUAUGAUACAGCAAGAAGGGCCUCACAAGAUGUGACCUCUUGUUCUUGGACUUCUCAGCCUCCAGAAUCAUGAGCCCCUCUUUGAGCCGAAGGACUAGAGGAACAAAAGACUCAGCCCCAAGGUUAUCCGCUGCUGCUGCCCCCGAGACAGUAAGACCGACUCCUCCUCUUUCUCCUCCUCUUCAUCCUACUCUAUGUGAAGACAAGAAUGAAGAUCUUUGUGACGAUCCACUUCCAGUGAAUGAUUACUAAGAGUAUCCACGUGACCUGGACCUGGGUGAGUGGGUCCUAGAAAAAUUUUUGCUUUCUUGCUACUCUUCCUUCUUCUCACUGGAAUGUAAAUGUAAAGGGUGGAGCUGCAGCAGCCAUCUUGCUAUCACAAAAGAAAGACUGAGAGAACAGCAGAAGAGUUGACCUUAAUGUUGUUGAACCACUGAAUCAACGCUGUAAACAAUCUAUCUCCAAAAUUCUUGGUAUGUGAGAAACUAAACUACUGUUUAUUUAAGUUGGGUUGUCUGUUAAGUGCAGCUGAAUGUCUUCCUAAUUGAUACAGAAAUGCAUUUAAAAAAUAGCAUGCACACUUUUUAGUAUGAGCUAAGAAAAUGAGUAAGAACACAGCACAUUGAACCCAAUUUUGCAUUUGCAAUCCCCAAAGAACCCUGGUACACUUUUGUAGAAUAUUAAUGUGAAACCUAAGUUUGGGGAAUGUCUCUGAUGAGAAGUUGGGAAACAGAAAUAGAUGAGACCUAUCUAUGGUGCAAAGAUAAAUUUUGGUUAGAAAGAAAAGAGCAAGAACAUGCACAAAAAUGUGUGGCAGAACCAGGCUGUGGGCAGGAACCAGAGGAGCUGUCUACUAUGGUUGUAUUUAAUAUGACUGCUGAGGACAAAGCUCUGAUUUUUUUAUCUGGCCCAAAUUCCUAUCUAAGGUGUCUGGAGAGUCAUGCCUUACAAACCAUACAUUCUCAUCAGAUGGGUUUUAUUUAACCCCAUAUAUUGUGACUUUCCAAUCUGACUCUGGCAUAAUAUUAUGUGACAAAAAAGAAAGUCAAAAUAUUUUACUCCAAAACAUCUUUCUUUGUCUUAUUUUGAAAUGGCCCUGCAAAUGUGUCCUUUGUGGGGGGAAAUUUAUACCUGUAAAGAAUCUCUAUUAACAUAGCUAUAUCUUUUUCUUCCUGGCCCUCCCAAUCCUAAAGAGAUUGAGUAAGAGUCUAGCACCUUUUAAAGGUCUGAAUAGGAAACAUUUGUCAUCUAUUCCCCCGAAGAACAGCCACUGUAAGACUUCAAAAGAACUGUGGUCUGCACAAUCUUUUAUCUUAACCUGAACAUUUCUUUUCUAUGGAACCCAGGUCUUUAGACAAACUCAACCAAUUGUCAACCAGAAAAUGUUUAAAUGUUUCUAUAGCCUGGAAGCCGCCUCCUCCCCACCACCAUCCCAUUCCACUUUGAGUUGUCUGGUUUUUCUAGACCAAACCAAUGUAUUUCUUAAAUGUAUUUGUUUGAUGUCUCAUGCCUCCCUAAAAUGUACAAAACCAAGCUGUGUCCAACCACCUUGGGCACAUGUCCUCAGGACCUUCUGAGGGCUGUGUCACCAGAUGUGGUCAUUCAUAUUUGGCUCAGAAUAAAUCUCUUCAAAUAUUU
rnacentral:lncRNA from 1 species